ACACGGGAAGGGAGGUGGUCUAGUUUUGUGUGAUAAACGGACUCGUGAGGUGACUGUCCGCUAGCCGGUCUCGUGGUCCUCACCCUGCCGGGUGACCUGCGGGCACCGGCACCGGCGAGAACCAGACAGGCACCGGACCUCCGGGCGUCGUCGCUGGUCCCGACGGCCCGUCGUCCCUUCCGUGGACGAUGGAAGCGCCCGGAGGUCUCUUUUU
rnacentral:sRNA from 1 species